rnacentral:misc_RNA from 1 species
UUCUUGUAGCGAUCCAACUUCUUGCCAAUUGCUUUCAUUAUCUCAUCUUUCCUAGAAAUCCUUGCCUCUCCCCUUUCAAUAUUCUUGAUUAUACGAUCAUAAUCAUUUAAUUCCUUGUAUCGUUCUUUGAAGACUUUGGCAUAUCUCUCAACCUCCUCUUCAGUUUUUCCUUCCAUUUCAGAAGCUAUACUUUUGAUGUCAGUGCGACCAUACUUCUCACAUGCCCGAAUGAAUGUACUGAAGUCUCUCCUCGACCAUGUUGAAAAUCCCUCUUCUAACAGCAUAUCCUUUUCUUCCUGCUCCUCUG